GACGAACGCUGGCGGCGUGCCUAAUACAUGCAAGUCGGGCGAAGUUUUUCUGGUGCUUGCACUAGAAAAACUUAGCGGCGAACGGGUGAGUAACACGUAAAGAACCUGCCUCAUAGACUGGGACAACUAUUGGAAACGAUAGCUAAUACCGGAUAACAGUAUUUCUCGCAUGAGAGAUAUUUAAAAGUUGGUUAUGCUAACACUAUGAGAUGGCUUUGCGGUGCAUUAGCUAGUUGGUGGGGUAAAGGCCCACCAAGGCGACGAUGCAUAGCCGACCUGAGAGGGUGAUCGGCCACACUGGGACUGAGACACGGCCCAG
rnacentral:rRNA from 1 species